AGCUAAUUAGCAAAUAGAAUAGUUGGACAAAGGGGGGAAAAGGAUAAUAAACAUAUAGAGAAAUAGAGAGAGAGGGAGAGAUAAACUCAUACAAGCAGAGUUUUUUGUUUGAGUUUAUGUACAUGCUGAAGCCAAAGGAGUUGAAGAUAAGGCCAAACGGUGGCAACUGUAGAAGUGGGAGAGAAAGAGAGAUCAAGAAGAAGAAGAAGAAGCAGCUGCUGCAGCUUGUGACUGUUG
rnacentral:lncRNA from 1 species